CCCUUAUGUUGAAGUAGUGCUACUCCUGCUUGAGGACAACUUCUGGCUACUCCACCCACCUCUGGUUAGCUGCGAUGCUUGCUAGGGACUGUGUUAGGAGGGCUGUGCUGUGGAGAAGCCUCAACAUGGAGCACCCCAUUCUAAUCACAAUCAGUGGUUUUAAUGUGUUGGCUGGUCACUUCUUCUGCUGCAGAGGCUCCUGCUCGCCUUUUUCCCUGCCUUCAUCCCCACCGUGUGCAGAGCUCUUCGGUAUAGGCCACGCUUACUGGUUCUACUAAUGCAGAUGUGUAAAUCUUAAAUGUGCCUUUUAUAGCCUUGGCACGAUGUCACACUAGAAAAUGAAGAAACGUUCAUCCUUUCACUUGUGUUCAUUCAGUUAAGAAAAUAAUAUCAUGUUAAGAAAUAAUAGUUUUAUGUAAAUCAAAGGUAGAAGAGCUAUUUUUAUCCCUAUAAUGCACCACACACACUGAAGAGGAUGGAAAUUAUUAAGGAGGCAUUCCAGGAAAAAGCCUUUCCUGUCCUUCCGUCACAAAGGUAAGUGGAGGGUGCUAAACUCAGCCGGGACUUUCACUGGUACUGUGUGGUUUGUUCAGAUUCACAGCAAAUAUUUACAAGUUGGAGGGUACCGCCUACCUACUGGUUACGGAUGUCAAACACUGGGCCUUUUACUCCUCUAAAGGCACUGCGCUAGGAGGUUUUAAACACAAACCUGUUGGACCCUACCAGGAACCUGACAAUGGCUCGCCGUUGGGUCCAAAGCAGGACAAAAAUGAACCCAGAAUUGAGUUACCAGACACAAAACCCACCUCUUCUUCCUUCAUCAUCUCAAUCCCCAACCAGAGAGCCUAGAAAACAUGUGGCGAGCUGAAGAGAAGAGAGUAUAAGAGAGGUCCCAGAACUCUGGAUGAUCUAGAGAUCCUGCAAAGAAGAGUGGAUUCUUUCUUUCUGCAUGCUCCGACCCUAUGAGACGUUACGAAAUCUAACAGCUUUCCUAUUGUUAGACGGGUGCUUUUACUGAGUACUGACAGCAACCAAUACCUGGGCUAAUUCUGAUCAACACUAUUUUUUCUCUAUUUAGUAAAUGUACUCAAAUUAAAUGUUGGAUUUUUUUCCCCAACAUAUUUCUGUUUCAGCUUUUGCUACCUCAAUAAAAUAAACAUAUUUUUUUGUUUAUUUAAUGCUGCUUGCUUAAGAUAGUAUAGAGAAAAAAAUCUGUGGAACUUCUUAGAACCCUCCAGGUUGCAAAGGCAGUGUGAAGCCAAACCUAUAUCGCCAUGGCCUCAGCAAACGUAACGCUGGAGAAUCAGCUGCACAGCGCUCAGAAAAACCUGCUCUUUCUGCAGCAGGACCACGCAAACACACUAAAGGGGCUACACGCCGAGAUCCGCAGAUUACAGCAACAAUGCACAGACCUGACAUAUGAACUCACCGUGAGAAGCUCUGAUCCAUCAGACAGCGGCGAGGAUCGAUGCAGGGAGCUGCAAAGGAGGUGUGAGGAGCUGGAGGCCCAACUCAAAAAGAAGGAGGAGGAGAACACCGAGCUGCUCAGGGACCUGGAGCAGAAGAACGCCAUGAUUUCCGUCCUCGAGAACACCAUCAAAGAGAGGGAGAAGAAGUACCUGGAGGAGCUCAAGAUGAAGAGCCAUAAGCUGGCUGUGUUGUCCGGGGAGCUGGAGCAGAGGGCAAGCACCAUUGCUUACCUCACCUCUCAGCUUCACGCCACUAAGAAGAAGCUUUUGGCCGGGAGCUCCUCUGAGGCAAGUCCCAACGUCAGUCCCAUCAGCUCCUACAAGCCAGCGCCUCCGCCCGCUAAGGACAGGCAGCCUGAAACGCCACGCCGCCGAAUGAAGAAAAGCCUCUCCCAGCCUCUUCACCCGGAGCUCACCGAGGUGUACCGCCUCGGCCCGGACGGCAGGCGGGUGGUCCUGCGGGAACCGAUCGACGCCAUGCCCGACCCCACGCCCUUCUUGCAGGCAGGAAGAGAAUCUCCCGAACCGCAGGUGGUGCGUGAGCGGCCCGCCGUCAUCCCCCCCAUCGCCUCCGACCGCUCUCCCGUCCCUCCGCUGGGAGCCGCGGCCAGCCCCCGACACAGUCCCGCUCGAGACCGUCAGUACCGGGCCCAUGUGGGCGUGGCGCACCGCAUCCCGCACGGGACCCCUCCUCUGGCCCCUCCGCAAGCCGAGCUGGAGACGCUGGCAGUGGACCAGGUCCACGAGGACAAGGUUGUGCAGAAGCGCUCAGAAGCCGAUAGGACAGUUUAACACUGCAACGCUACACCUGCGCAUUAACAGAGGCACAUCUAGGGCCAGAUGCAUAAAACUCUGUUUUAUGACUCAAACUGAGAGCAAGCACAGAUGCAAACGUGUGCUCAUCCAUCCUAUUUGCCAGAUUUAUAAAGCAUCGAAUAGAGUGCCGUACAGAAGUAUUCAUACUGCUUGAACUGGUUCACAUUUUAUCCCGUUACAACCACAAACUUCAGCGUAUUUUAGGGUGGAGUUCUGCUGCUAAAGUAGUGCAUAACUGUGAAGUGGGAAGGAAAACGAUACGUGGUUCUCAAAGAUUUUAAAUGAGCGAUCUGAAAAGUGCGGUGUGCAUUUGUAUUUGGCUUCCCUUAGUCAAUACUUUGUAGAGCCCCCCCCCUUCCUUUCAGCGCGUUUACAGCAGCAAGGCUUUCAGGCGUUUCACUUUUCAAAUCUUGCUGCAGCUUCUCAGAAGGAUUCAGGUCUCUUGCCUUUGACUGGAACAUGAAUAUACUUUGAAUUAAACAUUUCCAUUUUAGCUCUGGUUUGGAGGCUGUUCUGCUGCUGGAAGGGGAACCUCCAACCCAAUCUUAAGUUUUUAGCGUCCUUUGGCAUAACAGCUUCUUUACCAGGAUGUCCCUGUAUUUAGCUCCAGCUAUCUUUUCAUCAGCUCUGACCAAUUUCCCUGUCCCCGCUGAAGAAAAGCAUCCCCCACAGCAUGAUGCCACCACCACUAUGUUUUUACCAUGGGAAUGGUAUGAUCAGGGAGACGUGCAGUGUUUCUGCGCACACAAUAUUUUGCAGGUAGAUAACAUUUUUUGGUCUUUUUCGUGUCAUCUGCCCAGAGCACCUUCUUCCGUGGCAAACGCAUUCACUACUUCUUAUAUUUCCUUUGACAAUGGCUUUAUUCUUCCCUCUCUUCCAACAAGACCGCAUUUCAAGCACAUGAUAAGUAGCUGUCUUGUAAUCAAAUUCUUCCACCUGAGCUGUGGAUCUCUGCAGCUCCCCCACAAUCACCAUGAGCCUUUUAUCUCCUCUGAUCGAUAUCCGCCUUGCCUGACUUGUCAGUUUACAUGGACAGUCGACACAUGGGAUCUUGUAUCAUAACUUGACCCUGUUUUAAACUUCCCUACACAACCAGAGACCUGACCCGUCCGCUGUGUCCCUUGGUCUUUAUGACGUUUUUAGUUUAGUUCCCUAAUUUUCUCUAAGAGAUUUCUGAGUUCUUCAGAGAACAGCUGUAUUUAUACUGACACUAAAGAAGACACAGUGGGACUCUGCUUAAUAAUUAGGUCACUUCUGAUGGCGCUGGAUUUGAUUGAGGGGUAUAAGAGUAAAGUGGGCUGAUACCCUUUUUUUUUAUCUGUACAAAGACAGACCUUUUCUAACAGUAACGUUUUUAAACCAGGUAUAAUUUCCUUCCAUCUCACUGUGUUGCAGUUAUUCGUUUUGACAUAUCACAUAAAGCGCCAUGAAAUAGACUCAAGUUUGUGAUUUUCACUCAAAAACGUUCAAGGCGUUUGAAUAAAUUGGCAAGGCACCGCAGCAUACGCUUCUGUCAGUGAAUCUAAACCGUUUUGAAAUUUGCCGUCUUGCACUUUUUUUUUUCUUACUUGAACCCUUUUCUAGUUUAAAAAGUGUGAAGGGAAUCCAGUUGAUCUCAGCCAAGAACCCAUGAGCAGAACAAAACCUGGAUUAAAAUCUGUUACAUAUGCAACUCUAGUCCACAGUCUAAGUUCAAAGCAAGGAACCUCGACAAAAGUAAAACAGAACUAGUAUUACGCUCGUGGGGCUGGGGAAGCACAUGAGCCAACAAACUGUAUCGUCCUGUGCAAGAAGAUUAAAGAAACAAACAGAAAACAGCAAAUAAUAGCUCUGUUCUUAAAGUCUUCUCAACAAUGGUCUUCCAACAACUCUAGAUGAGCCUGCGUGUUUCAUUUUACAUCCAUUUCUAUGUUGUUUUUGUGUUGUUUCAGUCUAAUAUGUCAGGUUCGGCGCGGGAAUUCCCACCGCACAUUCCGCUCUAUACAUAGACGUCUAAUGUGUAGGAAGUGGUAUAUGCCUUGCUUUUGGUUUAUGCACUAUUUAUGCAUCUGACCCUAGUGUAUACACAUUACACUGCGAGAACAACAAAGAGCCUGAACCACUGUGCAGCCUGCUUUUUACGCAACCCGGCAGUGCAAGCAAAUGCAUCAUUUUGUGGUACUCCGCGAGGACUUUAGGUUUCUUCGUCAUGUACAGUAGAAAGGGUCUACUGUACAGCAUGCCAAAUGAGCUUCAUUUAUUUCCCCGUGAGUUUUUUUUUUUUUUUCAGCACCAUUCACAUCUUGACCUUUCUGCUUGGACCUUCUGUUGGAUCUGUUUUACGCGAUCAAACCAACUCUCAGCCAAAUAUUUGCGUCAGUGCCUGCUUAACCGGCUUAGUCGUACACGAGCUGCGAAAUGUAGUCAUGGCUGUAAGUCACCUUCACGCGUCUGGGUCUGCUCCACCCUCACAGUAACGGGCUGGAAGUAGCAACGGUCUAUAUAACGAGACGUCCGCAGCUUCGUAGGAUAGAGGUGAAGUAAUCGCACUACUACUACUACAAGUAUCUUUUCUUUGGUAUCUGUAUAACCACGUGACCGUAGGUAGAAGCAGCCAUGUGUGUAAACUGAACUGUGCCGGUUUAUCAAGUUGAGCCCCGAAAUGCUUCCUCUGCUCCUAGAAGGAAGCAGCACUGCACAUGUCUGAAUGCAAUAUGGACGCAGAGUAGUGCGCCGGGAGUGUUGGCGCGCGCAUGAGCGAGGAAGGAGAGUGAGUGUGUCUGAGGAAAGACGAGGGAGGAGUUAGUUUAGGUUCGUUAAUGCUAUUUGUCAUACGAGGACGUUUUUAAAACACUGCUGGAUAUUGUGAUAUUACAAACUGUACUUUUUAAAAGGCUGUCGAUUUGUAAUGAGUUCAUUUUUUUUUUAUUAUUCUUUAUUAUAGGGGGAAAAAAAACAACCGCCCCGACACACUCUGUACCUAUCGCACCACUAAAAUGAUGGUAAUUAAAUCACUUAAUAGCCUGCUUUUCACAAUAAAAUCUAUAUAUUAAAGCCA